rnacentral:lncRNA from 1 species
CUGUGCUCUUAAUGGUUCCCAUUCAUUACUCUUGUCCUUUCUCACCCAUCAAACUCAACAGUUUAUGUCCUUCCUCUCCCCCCCCCGCCCCCCUCCCCCCCCGGGGCCUGGCAGUGUAGAAGUUUUCGUUUCUGUGUUCCCUUCCCUUGUUGGUGUCUGCGUACAGAACGACAUCAGGGUGUGCUUUUGUUAAAUCUGUGGGCAUUAAAAUGACAUUGCUGUCUCUCACCUGGAUUUCAUCUCACGUCCUCUCUCGGACGUACAGUACAAAGAUACCUGGCCGUAGCCUCAGACCUCCGUGGCAGCCCUGACUAUGAAGGCUUGGCCGUGUCACGUGACCUUUCUGCAUCCUGCUGCUGAGUAUAGAGAAAACCUUUGGAACACUUUUCUCAUCUCUGUUUCACGAACAGUUUUCUCAUUUCUGUUUCACGAAAUGGGUAGGAUCAAAUGAGACGACGUGAGUCGGGAGUAGGGAAGGGCUACGUGCUUAGACACCUCCCAUGCUCGGCUCAGUUGGCCGGCAACAGCUUAAAUGACAGCACUUCUCAGCAUAGGAAGCAGCAAUCAUCCGCACCUGUUGCCAAUUAAAGCAUUAAUGGCCCAUCAAUCAAGGAGAAAUCACUGGGAAUGGAGAUGACACAGGCUCUGUGCUCCUGUCAGUUUUUUGGAAGUCAUCCUUUGCUUCAAG